UUAGAAUUUGACAUAUGGCCAGAAUUAAAUUCAGCAUACAUUAUGUACUACCUAUUUAAUUGUCAUCUUGAAGGCAAUCCCAAGUAUGACUCGUCACAUGGUGUAACUGGACCUCAACCAACUCCUUCAUAACUUUCAUAAUGAAAGAAUGAAAAUAUGAAAAUGGAAAAAUAUAUUAUAAUUUAUAUUUUAAAAACUAAAUAAUCAAUGGUUAACUAAAUCUUGGGGUAUAUUUGUAUUAAUCUUAUUAUAACGUAUUUACUAAAUAAACGUAUUGUUUAAAUAAUUUUAGUGUGACGAUAGGGUGGUUGUAAUAAUCGCUUACUUAUAUAAAAGCAAAACAAUAAAAUAUAUCUUAUUUUUGGAAUUCAUUAAUGAAAAAAAAAUGUAAUUUUUGUGGUGACUACAUGUAAUAACAUGUUUUAAAAGUGCAUGACAAUAAAAACAAAUAUCAAAAUACUUACCUAUUUAAUGGUUUUUUUCGAUUUGACUCUUAUUAGAAUGGUUUUAUUUUUGUCGUUUUUCCAAUUUAAUAUAUAAGUAAGUCGAUGUCUUAAGUUAUAAAAAUGUUAAUUAUUUAAAUUUCACUUUAUUUAAUAAUUUAUUGUUCUAUAUUGUUCUCUUGUAUGAAUCUGCUCAGUAUUAAAAUAUCGCAUCUUGAUUUA